rnacentral:rRNA from 1 species
AACGAACGCUGGCGGCAGGCCUAACACAUGCAAGUCGAACGCCGUAGCAAUACGGAGUGGCAGACGGGUGAGUAACACGUGGGAACGUACCCUUCGGUUCGGGAUAACUCAGGGAAACUUGAGCUAAUACCGGAUACGUCCGAGAGGAGAAAGAUUUAUUGCCGAGGGAUCGGCCCGCGUCUGAUUAGCUUGUUGGUGAGGUAACGGCUCACCAAGGCGACGAUCAGUAGCUGGUCNGAGAGGAUGAUC